GAUGAAGAACGCAGCGAAAUGCGAUACGUAAUGUGAAUUGCAGAAUUCAGUGAAUCAUCGAGUCUUUGAACGCACAUUGCGCCCCCUGGUAUUCCGGGGGGCAUGCCUGUCCGAGCGUCAUUGCUGCCCUCAAGCACGGCUUGUGUGUUGGGCCUCCGUCCUCCUCCCGGGGGACGGGCCCGAAAGGCAGCGGCGGCACCGCGUCCGGUCCUCGAGCGUAUGGGGCUUCGUCACCCGCUCUUGUAGGCCCGGCCGGCGCUUGCCGACACAUCAAUCUUUUUUCCAGGUUGACCUCGGAUCGUAGGGAUACCCGCUGAACUUAAGCAUAUCAAUAAGCGGAGGA
rnacentral:misc_RNA from 1 species